rnacentral:rRNA from 1 species
CCCUUAGAUGUUCUGGGCUGCACGCGCGCUACACUGAAGCGUUCAACGAGUAUUCACCUUGCCCGGGAGGGUUGGGUAAUCUUUUGAAAACGCUUCGUGAUGGGGAUAGAUUAUUGCAAUUAUUAAUCUUCAACGAGGAAUUCCUAGUAAGCGCGAGUCAUCAGCUCGUGCUGAUUACGUCCCUGCCCUUUGUACACACCGCCCGUCGCUCCUACCGAUCGAGUGAUCCGGUGAAUAAUUCGGACUGCAGCACUGCUUGGUCUCCAGGCUUUGCAGCGGAAAGUUUAGUGAACCUUAUCACUUAGAGGAAGGAGAAGUCGUAACA